rnacentral:rRNA from 1 species
GACGAACGCUGGCGGCGUGCCUAAUACAUGCGAGUUGAGCGCUGAAGGUUGGUACUUGUACCAACUGGAUGAGCAGCGAACGGGUGAGUAACGCGUGGGGAAUCUGCCUUUGAGCGGGGGACAACAUUUGGAAACGAAUGCUAAUACCGCAUAAAAACUUUAAACACAAGUUUUAAGUUUGAAAGAUGCAAUUGCAUCACUCAAAGAUGAUCCCGCGUUGUAUUAGCUAGUUGGUGAGGUAAAGGCUCACCAAGGCGAUGAUACAUAGCCGACCUGAGAGGGUGAUCGGCCACAUUGGGACUGAGACACGGCCCAAACUCCUACGGGAGGCAGCAGUAGGGAAUCUUCGGCAAUGGACGAAAGUCUGACCGAGCAACGCCGCGUGAGUGAAGAAGGUUUUCGGAUCGUAAAACUCUGUUGGUAGAGAAGAACGUUGGUGAGAGUGGAAAGCUCAUCAAGUGACGGUAACUACCCAGAAAGGGACGGCUAACUACGU